UACGGAGGGUGUGAACGUUAAUCGGAAUCACUGGGCGUAAAGCGCGCGUAGGCGGUUCGUUAAGUGGGAUGUGAAAUCCCCGGGCUUAACCUGGGAAUUGCAUUUCAAACUGGCCGACUAGAGUACGGUAGAGGGAGGUAGAAUUUCCUGUGUAGCGGUGAAAUGCGUAGAUAUAGGAAGGAAUACCAGUGGCGAAGGCGGCCUCCUGGAUCGAUACUGACGCUGAGGCGCGAAAGCGUGGGGAGCAAACAGG
rnacentral:rRNA from 1 species